UGGCUCAGGAUGAACGCUUGCGGCAGGCUUAACACAUGCAAGUCGAGGGGCAGCGGGGAGUAGCAAUACUCCGCCGGCGACCGGCGCACGGGUGCGUAACGCGUAUGCAACCUACCUUUAACAGGGGCAUAACACUGAGAAAUUGGUACUAAUUCCCCAUAACAUUCGAGAAGGCAUCUUCUUGGGUUAAAAACUCCGGUGGUUAAAGAUGGGCAUGCGUUGUAUUAGCUAGUUGGUGAGGUAACGGCUCACCAAGGCAACGAUACAUAGGGGGACUGAGAGGUUAACCCCCCACAUUGGUACUGAGACACGGACCAAACUCCUACGGGAGGCAGCAGUGAGGAAUAUUGGUCAAUGGACGCAAGUCUGAACCAGCCAUGCCGCGUGCAGGAAGACGGCUCUAUGAGUUGUAAACUGCUUUUGUACUAGGGUAAACGCUUCUACGUGUAGGAGCCUGAAAGUAUAGUACGAAUAAGGAUCGGCUAACUCCGUGCCAGCAGCCGCGGUAAUACGGAGGAUCCAAGCGUUAUCCGGAUUUAUUGGGUUUAAAGGGUGCGUAGGCGGUUUGAUAAGUUAGAGGUGAAAUACCGGGGCUCAACUCCGGAACUGCCUCUAAUACUGUUGAACUAGAGAGUAGUUUGCGGUAGGCGGAAUGUAUGGUGUACCGGUGAAAUGCUUAGAGAUCAUACAGAACACCGAUUGCCAAGGCGGCUUAGCAAACUUAUAUCUGACGUUGAGGCACGAAAGCGUGGGGGGCAAACAGGAUUAGAUACCCUGGUAGUCCACGCAGUAAACGAUGAUAACUCGUUGUCGGCGAUACACAGUCGGUGACUAAGCGAAUGCGAUAAGUUAUCCACCUGGGGAGUACGUUCGCAAGAAUGAAACUCAAAGGAAUUGACGGGGGCCCGCACAAGCGGAGGAACAUGUGGUUUAAUUCGAUGAUACGCGAGGAACCUUACCCGGGCUUGAAAGUUAGUGACGAUUCUGGAAACAGGAUUUCCCUUCGGGGCACAAAACUAGGUGCUGCAUGGUUGUCGUCAGCUCGUGCCGUGAGGUGUCGGGUUAAGUCCCAUAACGAGCGCAACCCCUACCGUUAGUUGCCAUCAGGUCAAGCUGGGCACUCUGGCGGGACUGCCGGUGUAAGCCGAGAGGAAGGUGGGGAUGACGUCAAAUCAGCACGGCCCUUACGUCCGGGGCUACACACGUGUUACAAUGGUAGGUACAGAGGGCCGCUACCCCGUGAGGGGAUGCCAAUCUCGAAAGCCUAUCUCAGUUCGGAUCGGAGGCUGAAACCCGCCUCCGUGAAGUUGGAUUCGCUAGUAAUCGCGCAUCAGCCAUGGCGCGGUGAAUACGUUCCCGGGCCUUGUACACACCGCCCGUCAAGCCAUGGAAGCUGGGGGUGCCUGAAGUUCGUGACCACAAGGAGCGACCUAGGGCAAAACCGGUGACU
rnacentral:rRNA from 1 species